UCUACAAUUUAUUAACAUUCUACUUGGUAUCUUGAAGAAGUUUUACAGUCAUUGAGCAUAUAAUACAUUGAGAAUGAUAAGGUAUUAGCAUAAGAUAAAGGCGAUAUAAAUCCAAUUCGGUACGGAAAUUUAAAUGAAAUUUACGCAAAUGUAACAUAAAAAUUCAUUAGGUUCUUCUUCUCUAGAACAUCACAAAAUGUUCGCGAAAAAUUAAGUGUCACAAUUAUUUUCUAUGUUCUUGUAACCUCUUAUGAAUGAAAAUUAUUUGUCAGCACAAAAAACCUACAUUUUUCUCCAAUUAAUAUAAAUUUAUAAUGCCUUGCUCGCAAUCUUGUACAAAACACAAACCCAAACUAAAAAAUGUCACAACAAUAAUUUUUGAUAUGGAUGGUACCCUCCUUGAAAGAAAAUAGUAUUACAAAUUGGGUAGAAUGCAGUCCCUUAUUUGAAGGUGCCAUACUCUACCAAUGGCUGUGGCCGAAUAUCCAGACCAACAUUCAACGUUUCAACAAAGUCCUACCAAUUGAACACAUCAGACAUGAAGAUUCCUGUAAUUUCAAGUUUGCGCAUGCUUUACGCGCACCAUAUAAUCUGGAAAAGCUGAAAGUCGUAACGGCCCAUCUACCACCCAAGAUGAUAUCAAAUUCCAUCAAAUCGGAUUAGAAUUGUAGAAGUUAAUAAGGUCCUAAAUUUACCACUGUAUGGCGACUACUGAAAACUAAUAUGUCUAACUGA